rnacentral:rRNA from 1 species
UACGGGGGGUGCAAGCGUUAAUCGGAAUUACUGGGCGUAAAGGGUGCGUAGGUGGUUUGAUAAGUUAUCUGUAAAAGCCCUGGGCUCAACCUGGGAAGGCCAGAUAAAACUGUUUAACUAGAGUAUGGGAGAGGGUAGUGGAAUUUCCGGUGUAGCGGUGAAAUGCGUAGAGAUCGGAAGGAACACCAGUGGCGAAGGCGGCUACCUGGCCUGAUACUGACACUGAAGCACGAAAGCGUGGGGAGCAAACAGG